UUCUAAAGAAGAAAAAGACUGAAGACCAGCGGAACCAUAAAGCACACACAACAAGCAUGACAACAAUUUCCCUGCACUUCCACGGACCAAGUACGUGCACGCAUGGGCCAGAAGCUGAAAGAUGUCCGUGCAUCUCGAAGACGU